AUUGAACGCUAGCGGCAGGCCUAACACAUGCAAGUCGAACGAGUGGCGGACGGGUGAGUAAUGUCUGGGAAACUGCCCGAUGGAGGGGGACAACUACGGGAAACGGUAGCUAAUACCGCAUACCAUCGGAUGUGCCCAGAUGGGAUUAGCUUGUAGGUGGGGUAACGGCUCACCGAGGCGACGAGCCCUAGCUGGUCUGAGAGGAUGACCAGCCACACUGGAACUGAGACACGGUCCCGACUCCUACGGGAGGCAGCAGUGGGGAAUAUUGCACAAUGGGCGCAAGCCUGAUGCAGCCAGGCCGCGUGUAUGAAGAAGGCCUUCGGGUUGUAAAGUACUUUCAGCUGGAAGGCGUUACUCGCAGAAUAAGCACCGGCUAACUCCGUGCCAGCCGCCGCGGUAAUUC
rnacentral:rRNA from 1 species